AUUAUGACUAUUGAAUGACUAGUUUCAUGUUCAUAGAUCACUAAUGAACAGGUUUUCAGGGGGUCGCAAGCAACAGGAACUACAAAGGUGACCGUGUUAUUACGGGAUCACAGACCUUGUACCAC